rnacentral:misc_RNA from 1 species
UGGCUUACCUCCUCAGUUAUGCGUCAUGACUUGUAUCGUCUUGAGCGUAUUGUGGGUUUCCUGUGUUGCAUACCUUUCUAAUGGUAUCGUGUUGAUUGAUCGAAGUCCCUUUUCAUCUUGUGUUGCUUUUUGCGACGCAUGAUGAACCUCGAGGCGGUCUCUAUGUUCCACCACGUUCAUGCUAUCGUUUUGAUGUUGUGGCCCAUUGAGUGUUGCUUGGUUUCGUGGAUACAGAACAUGAUUUGGGCAUAGGGUUACUUGUGACUCUUGUUUUGUCCUUUAUCUGUGUUCUUUAUAACGACGGUUCAUGCGCGCCUAGGCUCGUACCUGCGCGAUGUUCUUUGUCGAAGAGGAAUGCUACCUGGUUGAUCCUGCCAGUAAUCAUAUGCUUGUCUCAAAAAUUAAGCCA